rnacentral:rRNA from 1 species
AGCAGCCGCGGUAAUUCCAGCUCCAAUAGCGUAUAUUAAAGUUGUUGCAGUUAAAAAGCUCGUAGUUGAAUUUCGGGGUUAGUAGGUCGGUCGUGCCACAGGUAUGUACUGGUCUCACUGAUUCCUCCUUCCUGAUGAACUGUAAUGCCAUUAAUUUGGUGUUGCGGGGAAACUGGACUGUUACUUUGAAAAAUUAGAGUGUUUAAAGCAGGCUAACGCUUGAAUACAUUGGCAUGGAAUAAUGAAAUAGGACGUUCGAUCCUAUUUUGUUGGUUUCUAGGAUUGACGUAAUGAUUAAUAGGGAUAGUUGGGGGCAUUAGUAUUCAAUUGUCAGAGGUGAAAUUCUUGGAUUUAUUGAAGACUAACUACUGCGAAAGCAUUUGCCAAGGAUGUUUUCAUUAAUCAAGAACGAAAGUUAGGGGAUCGAAGACGAUCAGAUACCGACGUAGUCUUAACCAUAAACUAUGCCGACUAGGGAUCGAAUGAUGUUAAUUUUUAAUGACUCAUUCGGCGCCUUACG